AAAGUACUAAGUUAAGACAAUGAGAACCACAUGGCCUAUAAAACGCUCUAGAAUUUAUAUCAAGUAAUCUUUUUUGUAGACCCAUAUUUUUCCCUUUCAUAUUUGAUCCAUUAUCAUAGCCUUGCCCCCUUACAUCAUCAAUAUUUAGUUCAAGCUUUUUUAUUACAUCUUGCAAUUCAUUAAAAAUUCCUAAUCCAGUUGUAUCUUGC
rnacentral:lncRNA from 1 species